UUGCUCUUUAGCCCAGGCUGGAGUGCAAUGGAGCUAUCAGAGCUCACUGCAGCCUCCAACUCCUGGGCUCAAGCAAUCCUCCCACCUCAGACUCCCCAGUAGUUGGCACUACGGGCAUGUGCCACCGUGCCCGGAAGUCGUCGGGACGAUGCAUCUCCCGUGCCUGGAGCGAACCUCCCCUGAAGCGCGCGGGCGCCCAGGCCUCUGGGGUCCCGGGUCCGGCUCAGGCGCAGGCUCGGGGUCAGCAAAGGGACCUGCGCGGCGCCUUGGGGCGGGGAAGGCCCUAAGGCCAGCGGCCGCUACUGCACAGCGGUCAGAGCUCCCGGCUGAGGUCUGGGCGCUGCGGGAGCGGCAGGAGCGCCCAGGGCGGGGGAGACGGGUCCACUACAACCCCGGCGGGGUACGGGGGCGCCAGAACUGCGUCGGGUAGGGGUAGGACCCCCAAACCCCGGACACUCGCCGCCACGCGGUCUCCUUCCUUGCCGGAAUGGCGGCCACGGCGGAUAGGAAACCGUGCAGAACAUGCACCAUCUCCCUGGGGAGGAGAACGUGGGUGUCUCUUUGAGCCCCGCGGCGCCCCAUCACGAGUCCCCUCCAAUUCUACCCAAGAGCCGGGUCCUCACUCCCAGCUUCAGCCGAGCCCCAGGCUCCGCCCCUGCCUGCAGCCGCGCCCCCUCCACCUGCCAAUCUCAGACCCCUCCUCCAGCCUUGGUACCCGUCUGUCACCCCUGCUCUCCUCCUGCGUCCCACCCAAUCCCAGCGUGCCCACCAGGAACCCUACGCUGGACCCCAGCCUGGAUCAUCACCCCCGCCCCAGCCACCUCCUCCCGGAGUUCCACCAUCAAGAUUCCCAGGGCACCGCCUACCCGUCACGCUCCUCCCCUGGGACGGGCCCCGUCCCCGCCCUGGAAACCCCGCCCGCUUCACAGGCCUGGCAGGUCCCUCUCAUCAGACCUGUGCCCAGCGCGGUCCGCCUCCUCCAGGAAGCCUUCCUCCCGGCACAGAGACCCUCCGCGUCUCACCAGGAGUGCAAUGGCGCUAUUGCGCUCACUGCAACCUCCGACGUGCCCCCGCACCUCCUCCUUCUCCUCAGGCUUCCACCCCUGCUUAUUCUCCUGCCUCGGCCUCUUGAGUAGCUGGGAUUACAGCGGCCAAGAUCCCGAGUUUCUACUCAGAGCCGCCCCGGAAGACCGUGCACAGAGGGGUGCUGGUGACCCUGCUGCAGCAGUUGGCCACGACCCUGCCCCUGUGGAUCGGGAAGCCUGGUGACAAGCCCCCACCCCUCUGUGGGGCCAUCCCUGCCUCAGGGGACUACGUGGCCAGACCUGGAGACAAGGUGGCUGCCCAGUGAAGGCUGUGGAUGGGAACGAGCAGUGGAUCUUGGCCAAGGUGGUCAGUUACAGCCACGCCACCAACAG